rnacentral:misc_RNA from 1 species
AGAUUCCAUAUUUUGAUACAUACACACAUCCAUCAUUUCGGGACAACGUACUUGUUUGUCAUUUUUUAAACCACGUUGAGAGAGAUGUAGUUUUUAAGACCUUUGUUAAUUCAUUUGUCGCUGGUGUAUGUAAAGAAAAAAAUGAUUAUUUUGGAUCUCAGACAAUCAACCGAUUCUCUGAUAUAUAUGAUUUUGAUAUUAAUGUUUUUUUUAUUGUUCUUACUAAUGACUUAUUUAAAACCUAUAUACAGUUUCUAAACAAUGAAACAUUUAAAAUCUCGUUUUUAGCAAACUUGUUUCGUGAAACAUCAAACAAUAAUUAUCUCAUUACAGCUUUUCACAAUAACGCCGAAAAAUGUAUGAUGCACAUGCUUGGAUUUUUUUGAUAGUGUUUUUGCAGAAGUGUGACAUAUAUAUUAACAUAUCAAGUGUUUGUCUUACUAUUUUUGAAGCAAUUGAUGUAAGUGAAAUAGGUCUAUGUUUUGAAAAUAAUUGGAAUGAUGCUAUGAUAGUAAAAGUAAAAACAACUAUGUGGAAGCCAAAUAAACAUUGUUUGGGUUUUGUACAGAAAAAGUAUGCAUACUAUGUAAAUGUUUAAAACGGACUAAUACUUUAUAUUGAAUAAAUAAAACUAUUGUUCAUGUAAUAC